rnacentral:lncRNA from 1 species
GUAAAUGAAUAAGUCAAUGUAUGUUAAGCACCUAACAAAAUGCCUUACACAUAAAAACCAUAAAUUGCCAACAUCACCAAUUCAGGCAGAUCAUAGUGCUUGUCUCACAAAGUUUCAAAGAUUCACUAGGGAAAUGUAUAAGUCCAUAGAAUAAUAUAUUAGAAAAAUAAAUGGAAUUUUUUUACCCACAAGUUUGAGCUCCUGAGUAUCUUCCCCCCAGGUGCUCUGGCCCAGGGAGAUGGGAGUUUUAUCUAUAAGCCCCUGACUGGGCCUGUUGCCUUUCUUUCAGAGAUGCCCUGCCCAGAGAGGAAGAAUCUAGAGAGGCAGUCUGGCUACAGCAGCUUUGCAGAGCUGUGGUGGGCAUCACCCAGUCCAAACUUGGGAUAUUCUAAAGAAUAAUCUGUAGAGCCCUUGCCUUUCAAUAGCCUACAAUAGAGUAGGAGGAAUACAAUGGCACAUUUAAGCCAUAAGACAAGGCAAGAUGAUACUUAAUUACCAUAAGUACUAAAUUAUGAGGUACAGACUAUUAGUACUGUAAAAUGUACUGGGUUCCCAGAAUACUCUCCUUCCUAUCUGAGUGGUAGUUACAUGGGUAUUCUUUUCACAACCUGUUUUAAAACUGUGCACAUGUUUUAUUUACCUGUUUUAAAAUCAUAAUUCACAAUAAAAAUGUUAAGUGAUAGAAAGAGAAGGAGAAGAAUAAGGCCUGGAAUAACUGGAAUAAAAACUUGUGGGGAAAAUAUAACUUAAGAAUUGGCACAGAAGAGAGAGCAGAUCAAUACAAAUGCAAAUGUAGCACAGCUGUGGAUGAGUUGGGGUGCCUACAGUUUCAGAAAUGUAGUUUGGCUUUCUAGAAAACAUAAAUCCAUUUGAGUCUAAAAUAUUUUAAAACCUAAAUAAAAUCCUUAUCCCCAUGAGAUGAUAUGGACAAGUAUUAAUUGCUUUCUCCUAUAUUACCUUGACCCUGAGGACUUUGCAUACAUAUUCACUAAUCCAUUUAAAAUGAGUUUUGAGGAAUCACUGACAACUGGAGAUAAUCCAGAUGACUAGAAACAAUACUAUAGCUUCUUAAGAAAGAGAAUAUCCUUGGUAAUUGCUAUCCUUCUAUGGAUGACAUUGCAUUUGAGAUACGUCAUUCAAAUAUGUAUAUACAUACAUAUUCGAAUAUGUAUGUAUAUACAUAUUUGAAUGAUAAACAUUUCUGAAGUUUUACACACACAUGCACACACACACGCACACACACUUUUUUGGGGGGGGACAGGGUCCUGCUCUGUUGCCCAAGCUUAAGUUCAGUGUCAUGAUCCUCCCACCUUAGUCUCUCAAUUAGCUGGGGUCACAGGCACAUGCCAUCAUGCUCGGCUAAUUUUUAAAAAAAAUUUUGGUAGAGCUUCAAAGAGUAUUAUGGCUUGAGGUCUUACAUUUAAAUCUUUCAUCCAUCUCAAAUUUAUUUUUGUAUAUGGUGACAGGUAGGGGUCCAGUUUCAUUCUUCAGGAUAUGGCUAAGCCUCCUUAGUAGCUGGGACUACAGGCACACCCCACCAUGUCUGGCUAAUUUUUUUUAUUUUUGGUAAAGACGGGGUCUCACUAUGUUGCCCAGACUGGUCUUGACUUGUCCUUCUCUGUAUCUUGAGCACCUAACACAGUGCUAGGAAGUAGGUGCUUAAUAAGUGCUUGUGGAAUGCUAAAAGAUUAUUUAACCUCUUUCCUAGAAACGAAGACCCAGAUUCAUAGGAGCUUAACCUAAUGCAUGAAAAAGAGAGAUCUCAACACAUCCAGUGUCAAGUAGGGUACCCCAUCCUAGUCAAUAUAUUUUUCAUCAUGACAAAUAAGGUGAGAAAAUACAUGGUUAAAUUAUAUACAUUGCUCAAAACAAAAUACAUAGAUCUAAACUGGUGAGCUUUAAUUGAUUUUUGAUAAGUAUUGAAAUAAAUAUAUCAAGAAAGUUAAAUGUUGUUUUUUUAAAAAACAGCUUUUUAAUAACACAGUGAUUAAUGGCAAGUGAUAGGUAAAUAUUACUG